GUUGACCUUACAGCAAAUUAUCAUUCUACAGGAAGAAAACCAUUGUCAACUG
rnacentral:other from 1 species